AAAUUCAUAAAAGUCGUCGACACAUCAAAAAGUUAGUAAUUUAGCAAAAACACAUUUGACAAGGAAUCUACCGGCGGAAGAAAUUAAAUGAAUACGUAUAUUGCGCUAGAAAUGUCUAAAUACGUGAUCUUUAUGGCGGGCAUAGCGUACUCGCUGUUAUUUCACAUAAUACACUAUUUCUUUUUUAAACUAUUUAAUUCUGUCCCUGAUUCAAUUUUUGAGGAUUUACUUUUAAUGUUUAUAAGCUUAAAGGCGAUAUUAUUGUUAAUACAUAUUUUAUUCUGGCCAUAUUUGAAUACUGACUUUGUACCAGAGUUCAAUGAGCAUAAAUACCGAAUACAUCAAAGACUGAGAUAUAGAUUGUAAAUAUAGACAGCGAUCAAAACUUGAAAAUUAUAUUAAUUUUCCGUCACGAUAAGUACAUUUACAAGAGAUUCUAAGGUAGCACUUCAAGGAACCAGAUAUAUGAAGUGAGUAAAAUAAUCCAAAUAACACAAGAUUUUAGAAUCGUCUUAGAUAUAUCCAAGAUGUCCUGGGAACGUCUCAGGACGUCCGUUGUAUUCAGAAUAAUCGCAGAACGUGUCGUGCUAUCUGAGAAAAAUGAAGGUGUAACAAGAUAAUAUACUGUGUACACAAUUGGCUAACAGUAUUAAUAAUUGUUAAACGGUAUUAAUUGCAUGAAAAGACGCAAAAUCUUCUAAAUUUAAUAUCGCAAAAAUAUUACAAGAUGAAUUAAGUAAACUUAACGUUCAAUUUUAAGUUCAAUAUAUGUCAAAACUGAGA